CCUACGGGAGGCAGCAGUGGGGAAUAUUGCACAAUGGGGGAAACCCUGAUGCAGCGACGCCGCGUGAGUGAAGAAGUAAUUCGUUAUGUAAAGCUCUAUCAGCAGGGAAGAAAAUGACGGUACCUGAGUAAGAAGUCCCGGCUAACUACGUGCCAGCAGCCGCGGUAAUACGUAGGGGGCAAGCGUUAUCCGGAUUUACUGGGUGGAAAGGGAGCGUAGACGGCAGUGCAAGUCUGGAGUGAAAGGCGGGGGCUCAACCCCCGGACUGCUCUGGAAACUGUACGGCUGGAGUGCAGGAGAGGUAAGUGGAAUUCCUAGUGUAGCGGUGAAAUGCGUAGAUAUUAGGAGGAACACCAGUGGCGAAGGCGGCUUACUGGACUGUAACUGACGUUGAGGCUCGAAAGCGUGGGGAGCAAACAGGAUUAGAUACCCUAGUAGUC
rnacentral:rRNA from 1 species